rnacentral:rRNA from 1 species
UACGUAGGUGGCAAGCGUUAUCCGGAAUUACUGGGCGUAAAGCGCACGCAGGCGGCCUUUUAAGUUUGACGUGAAAGCUCCCGGCUUAACUGGGAGAGGUCGUUGAAGACUGGAAGGCUUGAGACGAUGAGAGGGGUGCAGAAUUCCCGGUGUAGUGGUGGAAUGCGUAGAUAUCGGGAGGAAUACCAGUGGCGAAAGCGGCACCCUGGCAUCGGUCUGACGCUCAUGUGCGAAGGCGUGGGGAGCGAACGGG